GGAUAAGUCGGUGGUUUGCAUAGUGAAGAGAUAAUGAGUUUCAUUUUUAACAAGUUGAGUUUGAAGUUCAGACAAAAAUUUCAGGAACUGAUGUAAAAGAGACUCUUGUUACUUCCUGUGGAACCCGUGGAUUGGAAGGUUAUCUAGGCUGCUGCAGAACUCUUCCACCCUGUGCACAGAGAAGUACAUAAAGUGGGAUCUUUCUCAGUGGAGCAGUAUAUAAAACAGAUGCAGACUGAAGGAUGUUAGAAGCACAAAGAAGGUCAUGUGCACGACAUUCAGCUGAGUACAAAAUUCAACAUCUGGAAGAGGCAAUGAAGAUGGACAAGGAACAUAUGCCAGUGCACAUCUAUUAUAAGCCAUUUAUCCCAGACUGUGAUGCAAGUGUGCUUAAGUCUGAAAUGCAAGUGACUCGUACUUACAGGCAAAAUACAUUCCAGCUGAGGAAAAAAGGAUUUUUGUUGCUGAUUUAAUGGAGUGACAGCCUUUCAGAAGUCUUUAAAUUCACCAUUUUCACUGAUGUCACCCUGUUACCAGAAAGGAGUCCUAAUUCUGACCCCAAGAGAAGGUCCUUAAAUCUCGUGCAAGAAAGAUUUCAGGAUUCAAAGAAUUAGCUGGACUAUGUCUCCAGGUGGAUGACUCUAUGGAAACUUUGAGCUGUAUGGAACAACCUCCUGAUCAUCCAUUUACCUUGCUUUGGUACAUUAGGACUUUAAUAGAAACUGCCUAAUGUGCAGGAUGACACAGUAAAAAGGCCUCACAUGAUAGCAGCUCCUUGAUCUUGGACU
rnacentral:lncRNA from 10 species